rnacentral:lncRNA from 1 species
GGGCUCCCCGUGCGUGAGGGUACUCGUGCGGGCUAUCCUUGCGUGAGGGCACUCGUGCGGGCUCCCCGUUUGUGAGGACACCCGUGCGGGCUCCCCGUGCGUGAGGGCACUCGUACGGGCUUUCAGUGUGUUAGGGCACCCGUGGGUGCACAUCGCCCGCAGAUCUAAACCUAUAGAGAGAAAGAGGGGCAGUUGCAGGUGAGGCAAACGAAGAGAGAGAGACGGGUGCACAUCGCCCGCAGAUCUAAACCUAUAGAGAGAAAGAGGGGCAGUUGCAGGUGAGGCAAACGAAGAGAGAGAGAGAGAGAGAGAGAGAUGAUCGCUGAAAGGAAUCUAGAGAGAUACGAGAGAGAAGAAUGAAAAAAAUAAAAGAAAGGAUUCACCUUGGAGAUAGUUGAUGGGUGAAGAGAGAGAAACGGCAUUUUGGUGGUGAGGCUGCCAUCGGAGAAGAGAGAGAAGAAGUUGCAUCCCCUGCAACAAUACUCUUUUUUUCUUCUUCUUCACCAACACCACCACAUUCCAUUAAACCCAACCAAAUUACCCCCAAACCCUAACGAUCAAUCAGCCUUUAUUUUAAAUCAAUUCAGAAAAAUUACAGAACCGAGUAACAAGCAAUCCCUUGAAUUGAAAACGGAGAAUGCAUAAUCCGCGUAUUUGGGCAUCCACAUUUUCUAUAGGAAAGGGUAAAAGCCCUUAGAGAGAGAGGGGGGCGUGGCGUUACACAAAGAAAAGGGGCAGAUGAUAUCGAGGUUCAGACCUUUUUCGCCUCAGCUGCUGAAAUAAACUGGUGACAAAAAAACGAGAUGAGCAAACGCUAGGGAGCAGAGAGGGGUCUGGCUGAGCGGCGUGAUGCGAAGAGAGCGAAGUUCCAAGUUUCCGGAAGACACUUCCUUUUUAUUUUAAACCAUGUAAAAAUCCCAAAACCAGAGAUGAAUCUAUUUUGCAUUUCAAACCAUUUAAAACCCCAAAACCAGAGAUGAAAUCUAUAUAUAUGCAUUACAAACCAUGUAGAAGCCCAAAAUCAAAGAUGGAAAAGCCAGAAUCUCUGCAAGUUCAUCCAAGCCCCAAUGAUCCAAGAUCGUACCCCCCCGCCUUUACAAAGCGUCGCUCCCUUUCUUCCUCUCUUCGUCUACGCACUCCCUUUCUCUCUCUAUCCCUUCGCUCGGAUUGUACAUGUAAGGAAGGGGUCAAGUCGUCUUUCUGGUCUAACUUAAUUAUUUUAGGGCUGUUGACCCUAAUGAUAUUAUCUAACGAUUGCAUUCUUU